AACGCACCUUGCGCUCCUUGGUAUUCCGAGGAGCAUGCCUGUUUGAGUGUCAUUUAAUUCUCAAUCCCUACAAUCUUGUGUUGUUUAGUGGAUUGGAGGUGGGGGUUUUUGUGGGUCUAUCUAUUAGAUCUUCUCCCCUAAAAAUCAUUAGCUGGAAUGCCUUUGCAAAACCAACUAUCAGUAUGAUAAUUAUCUACUCUGAUGUUGUUGUAAAAGGGGAUCUGCUUUCAAACUGUCGUUCAGACACUAUGAAUCAAUUUGACCUCAAAUCAGGUAGGACUACCCGCUGAACUUAA
rnacentral:misc_RNA from 2 species